rnacentral:rRNA from 1 species
AUACGUAGGUGGCAAGCGUUAUCCGGAUUUACUGGGCGUAAAGGGAGCGUAGGCGGAUAUUUAAGUGGGAUGUGAAAUACCCGAGCUUAACUUGGGAGCUGCAUUCCAAACUGGAUAUCUAGAGUGCAGGAGAGGAAAGCGGAAUUCCUAGUGUAGCGGUGAAAUGCGUAGAGAUUAGGAAGAACACCAGUGGCGAAGGCGGCUUUCUGGACUGUAACUGACGCUGAGGCAUGAAAGCGUGGGGAGC